AACGAACGCUGGCGGCGCGCCUAAUACAUGCAAGUCGAGCGAGAAGACGUAGCAAUACGUUUGUAAAGCGGCGAACGGGUGAGGGAAUACAUGGGUAACCUACCCUCGAGUGGGGAAUAACUAGCCGAAAGGUUAGCUAAUACCGCGUACGCUCCUUGGACUUCGGUUCAGGGAGGAAAGCGAUACCGUGGGUAUCGCGCUCUUGGAUGGGCUCAUGUCCUAUCAGCUUGUUGGUGAGGUAACGGCUCACCAAGGCUUCGACGGGUAGCUGGUCUGAGAGGACGAUCAGCCACACUGGCACUGCGACACGGGCCAGGACUCCUAC
rnacentral:rRNA from 1 species